ACAUUUUCAAUGCUUCUGUGACCAAAGUCAAUAAGCAGUAAUUAAAAGUCAUUCAAAUGAAAGACGAGAGAAUGACGGAUAUUUAUUUUAAUGCAGAACGCUUUUAUGCUUUCCCAGAGAAUGAGCAGACAUGAGUCAGUGUCCAAAACAUAUAUAUUAAAGUUAUCACCUAUUUGCUGACCUUUAAAAGCAAAUGUUGAAUAUUUUCUUUGUGGUGAUGGAUGGUCUUUUUCCUGUAAAUGUAUGAAAUGGUCUUAAACCACUAUUCCAUCAGCACUCAAUUAGGAUUUCCGCAAAAGCUUUUAGAGGUCAUCUUGACCUGCUGUCCCCGGCUUUUGUCUUUCUCCCUUAAAAAUCUUGUACGGCCUUGUCACAUUAACAGUCAUUAAAGGAAUUCUUUCAAUUGCACUCAGUAAAUCGAAAGUCCUAAAUGAGGAAGGGUUAUACGCAUCAUUCUGGAGUUUCUCAAUCCUCUAAGAAUGACGUUUUGCACUGCACAUUUUGGACGCCUGAGCCUCCCUUAUAGCUCCAAAAAUUUGAUGAAAUGAGACAGUGUUGGGCUUCCCCUACUUGUAAGCAGAAAUAUAAAGGAGUCGCUGUAAGAAUGACCUUUGGCAGAGCAUCUCUUUCUGCUAGCAUUAGUUGUUUUUAUAAUAUUUAUAGAUGGUCCAAAUAUACUCACACUUUGUGAACAAUAUCCAUGUGAAAAGCAACAUGCUUAUUGAUUUCUGACUAUAGGAAAAGGUGUGUAAUGAAAUUCAAAAGAAAAAAAAACAAUUUUGUCAGGGAACUGAAGAGGAAGGAAGAAUUGGGGAAACAAGUAAGAAGAUCUUCAGUGAGACAUAUUGUCCUAGGACAUUUUCUGUUGCUAAUGAAAGCACCAACAGCCUGCAUUUAGAUGGAAACAAGGCCAAAUUGACCAAGCUGUGACCAAGACAGCUUGUUGCUUCACAUGCUUCCCAUGCUGUUAGGAGAGGGAAGAAGUCAUCAGGGAGUUGUUUCAGAGCUAAAGGAUGCUGGGACUGUGGUAUUCCGCCCACAUUUGACUCAUUGACCUGCAAUACAGACGAAAUUGGGUCACGAAACCCAAUUCAAUAUGACCUAUUCAAUAUUACAUUUUUUCAAAUUGCUUACAGUUUUUGAAACCAUGGCUCCAUUUCUCAAAACUCUACACACAAAACCACAAAACACGCACACAACAUGCAAAACUAUUAUAAAAAUUUUAUUUUUGUGCUAGACACAAACAUAAAAUGAUUAGCCACAUACACGCCAAAAUACACACAGAUGUGAAAAAUAUAAAACACUACUCUCUUGUGUCUUUUGCUUGUUCAUUGUGUAGUGGAGUGUACAGGAGUUUGCAGUGGUGUAUAAAGUACUCGAAAACCAUACUUGAGUAAAAGUAUAGAUAUCUUACCAGAAAAUGACUUUGAUAGAAGUUAAAGUCACUAUUUAGAAUGUUACUUGAGUAAAAGUUUUAAAGUAUGUGUUAUUUUUUGUACUUAAGUACGAAAAGUAUUUUUUUUUAUAUUAAACGUACUUAAGUAUUGAAAGUAAAAGUACAAGUAAAUGUAAAAUACAA